rnacentral:rRNA from 1 species
AUUGAACGCUGGCGGCAGGCCUAACACAUGCAAGUCGAGCGGUAGAGAGAAGCUUGCUUCUCUUGAGAGCGGCGGACGGGUGAGUAAUGCCUAGGAAUCUGCCUGGUAGUGGGGGAUAACGUUCGGAAACGGACGCUAAUACCGCAUACGUCCUACGGGAGAAAGCAGGGGACCUUCGGGCCUUGCGCUAUCAGAUGAGCCUAGGUCGGAUUAGCUAGUUGGUGAGGUAAUGGCUCACCAAGGCGACGAUCCGUAACUGGUCUGAGAGGAUGAUCAGUCACACUGGAACUGAGACACGGUCCAGACUCCUACGGGAGGCAGCAGUGGGGAAUAUUGGACAAUGGGCGAAAGCCUGAUCCAGCCAUGCCGCGUGUGUGAAGAAGGUCUUCGGAUUGUAAAGCACUUUAAGUUGGGAGGAAGGGCAGUUACCUAAUACGUGAUUGUUUUGACGUUACCGACAGAAUAAGCACCGGCUAACUCUGUGCCAGCAGCCGCGGUAAUACAGAGGGUGCAAGCGUUAAUCGGAAUUACUGGGCGUAAAGCGCGCGUAGGUGGUUAGUUAAGUUGGAUGUGAAAUCCCCGGGCUCAACCUGGGAACUGCAUUCAAAACUGACUGACUAGAGUAUGGUAGAGGGUGGUGGAAUUUCCUGUGUAGCGGUGAAAUGCGUAGAUAUAGGAAGGAACACCAGUGGCGAAGGCGACCCCCCCUGGACUGAUACCUGAC